UCGUACGCUUCUUUUUCCCCGGAGCUUGCUCCACCGGAAAAAGAAGAGUGGCGAACGGGUGAGUAACACGUGGGUAACCUGCCCAUCAGAAGGGGAUAACACUUGGAAACAGGUGCUAAUACCGUAUAACAAUCGAAACCGCAUGGUUUUGAUUUGAAAGGCGCUUUCGGGUGUCGCUGAUGGAUGGACCCGCGGUGCAUUAGCUAGUUGGUGAGGUAACGGCUCACCAAGGCCACGAUGCAUAGCCGACCUGAGAGGGUGAUCGGCCACAUUGGGACUGAGACACGGCCCAAACUCCUACGGGAGGCAGCAGUAGGGAAUCUUCGGCAAUGGACGAAAGUCUGACCGAGCAACGCCGCGUGAGUGAAGAAGGUUUUCGGAUCGUAAAACUCUGUUGUUAGAGAAGAACAAGGAUGAGAGUAACUGUUCAUCCCUUGACGGUAUCUAACCAGAAAGCCACGGCUAACUACGUGCCAGCAGCCGCGGUAAUACGUAGGUGGCAAGCGUUGUCCGGAUUUAUUGGGCGUAAAGCGAGCGCAGGCGGUUUCUUAAGUCUGAUGUGAAAGCCCCCGGCUCAACCGGGGAGGGUCAUUGGAAACUGGGAGACUUGAGUGCAGAAGAGGAGAGUGGAAUUCCAUGUGUAGCGGUGAAAUGCGUAGAUAUAUGGAGGAACACCAGUGGCGAAGGCGGCUCUCUGGUCUGUAACUGACGCUGAGGCUCGAAAGCGUGGGGAGCAAACAGGAUUAGAUACCCUGGUAGUCCACGCCGUAAACGAUGAGUGCUAAGUGUUGGAGGGUUUCCGCCCUUCAGUGCUGCAGCUAACGCAUUAAGCACUCCGCCUGGGGAGUACGACCGCAAGGUUGAAACUCAAAGGAAUUGACGGGGGCCCGCACAAGCGGUGGAGCAUGUGGUUUAAUUCGAAGCAACGCGAAGAACCUUACCAGGUCUUGACAUCCUUUGACCACUCUAGAGAUAGAGCUUCCCCUUCGGGGGCAAAGUGACAGGUGGUGCAUGGUUGUCGUCAGCUCGUGUCGUGAGAUGUUGGGUUAAGUCCCGCAACGAGCGCAACCCUUAUUGUUAGUUGCCAUCAUUUAGUUGGGCACUCUAGCAAGACUGCCGGUGACAAACCGGAGGAAGGUGGGGAUGACGUCAAAUCAUCAUGCCCCUUAUGACCUGGGCUACACACGUGCUACAAUGGGAAGUACAACGAGUCGCGAAGUCGCGAGGCUAAGCUAAUCUCUUAAAGCUUCUCUCAGUUCGGAUUGUAGGCUGCAACUCGCCUACAUGAAGCCGGAAUCGCUAGUAAUCGCGGAUCAGCACGCCGCGGUGAAUACGUUCCCGGGCCUUGUACACACCGCCCGUCACACCACGAGAGUUUGUAACACCCGAAGUCGGUGAGGUAACC
rnacentral:rRNA from 1 species